rnacentral:rRNA from 1 species
CCUACGGGAGGCAGCAGUGGGGAAUAUUGGGCAAUGGAGGAAACUCUGACCCAGCGACGCCGCGUGCGGGAUGAAGGCCUUCGGGUUGUAAACCGCUUUCAGUAGGGAAGAAGCGAAAGUGACGGUACCUACAAAAGAAGCACCGGCUAACUAUGUGCCAGCAGCCGCGGUAAUACAUAGGGUGCAAGCGUUGUCCGGAAUUAUUGGGCGUAAAGAGCUCGUAGGUCGUUUGUUACGUCGGAUGUGAAAACCUGAGGCUCAACCUCAGGCCUGCAUUCAAUACGGGCAAACUAGAGUUUGGUAGGGGAGACUGGAAUUCCUGGUGUAGCGGUGGAAUGCGCAGAUAUCAGGAGGAACACCAAUGGCGAAGGCAGGUCUCUGGGCCAAUACUGACACUGAGGAGCGAAAGUCUGGGGAGCGAACAGGAUUAGAUACCCUGGUAGUCCAGACCGUAAACGGUGGGCACUAGUUGUGGGAACCUUCCACGGUUUCUGCGACGCAGCUAACGCAUUAAGUGCCCCGCCUGGGGAGUACGAUCGCAAGAUUAAAACUCAAAUGAAUUGACGG